GGAUGUGAGGGCGAUCUGGCUGUGACAUCUGUCACCCCAUUGAUUGCCAGGGUUUAUUCUACUGAUCUGGCUGGCUAGGCAGGUGUCCCCUUCUCCCUCACCGCUCCAUGUGCGUCCCUCCCGAAGUUGCAUGCUCAGUGGAAGAGGACGGCUUUCCCGGAAUAGAGACAGACCUGUCUUUGGUCGAGGGUAUCCGAGUAGCUGCAUUCCACUGCUAGAACCUCCAAAAAAGCUCUCAAAAAAUAAAACCAGAAAAAAAGAUAAAUAACAGAACGGUUACUUAUUACAUAUAUGAGGUAGAUUUUUAUCUUUUGUGUAU
rnacentral:snRNA from 1 species